GCAUAUCAAUAAGCGGAGGAAAAGAAACUAACAAGGAUUCCCCCAGUAACUGCGAGUGAAGUGGGAAAAGCUCAAAUUUAAAAUCUUGCAGGAUUACCUGCACGAGUUGUAGUUUCAAGAGGCGUUUUCGGCGCGCGCCUGGGUAUAAGUCCUUUGGAAUAGGGCAUCAUAGAGGGUGAGAAUCCCGUUCAUGACCCGGAGCGGCGUGCUAUGUGUUGCGUCUUCUAAGAGUCAGGUUGUUUGGGAUUGCAGCCUAAAAUGGGUGGUAAAUUUCAUCUAAAGCUAAAUACAGGCGAGAGACCGAUAGCGAACAAGUACCGUGAGGGAAAGAUGAAAAGCACUUUGAAAAGAGAGUUAAACAGUACGUGAAAUUGUUGAAAGGGAAACGUUUGAAAUCAGUCAUGCGGUCGGGUAAUCAGCUUGGCCUUGUGCCUUGUGAACUUUCCCGUUCGCAGGUCAGCGUCGGUUUUGGCGGCCGGACAAAAGUCGUGGGAAUGUGGCCCCUCGGGGUGUUAUAGCCCGCUUCAUAUACGGCAUCUGGGACCGAGGUCUGCAGCCGACGCCCUUGGGCUGGGGGCUCAUCUGCUCGUGGGUAGCCGGGCCUAGACAGCUUGCUGACUAGGUUUGGAUCGCCUCCGACUCGGGUUGAGUCACCGCUAGUCGGCUUAGGUCGCUGACGUAAUGGUUUUAAAUGACCCGUCUUGAAACACGGACCAAGGAGUCUAACAUAUAUGCGAGUGUUUGGGUGGCAAACCCGUGCGCGCAAUGAAAGUGAACGCAGGUGAGAUCCGCAAGGAGCAUCAUCGACCGAUCUUGAUAUCUUUGGAUAGAUU
rnacentral:rRNA from 1 species